GAUGAACGCUGGCGGCGUGCCUAAUACAUGCAGGUCGAGCGAACGGACGAGAAGCUUGCUUCUCUGAUGUUAGCGGCGGACGGGUGAGUAACACGUGGAUAACCUACCUAUAAGACUGGGAUAACUUCGGGAAACCGGAGCUAAUACCGGAUAAUAUUUUGAACCGCAUGGUUCAAAAGUGAAAGACGGUCUUGCUGUCACGUAUAGAUGGAUCCGCGCUGCAUUAGCUAGUUGGUAAGGUAACGGCUUACCAAGGCAACGAUGCAUAGCCGACCUGAGAGGGUGAUCGGCCACACUGGAACUGAGACACGGUCCAGACUCCUACGGGAGGCAGCAGUAGGGAAUCUGCCGCAAAGGGCGAAAGCCUGACGGAGCAACGCCGCGUGAGUGAUGAAGGUCUUCGGAUCGUAAAACUCUGUUAUUAGGGAAGAACAUAUGUGUAAGUAACUGUGCACAUCUUGACGGUACCUAAUCAGAAAGCCACGGCUAACUACGUG
rnacentral:rRNA from 1 species